rnacentral:rRNA from 1 species
ACUGAUUUGAAGAGCUUGCUCAGAUAUGACGAUGGACAUUGCAAAGAGUGGCGAACGGGUGAGUAACACGUGGGAAACCUACCUCUUAGCAGGGGAUAACAUUUGGAAACAGAUGCUAAUACCGUAUAACAAUGACAACCGCAUGGUUGUUAUUUAAAAGAUGGUUCUGCUAUCACUAAGAGAUGGUCCCGCGGUGCAUUAGCUAGUUGGUAAGGUAAUGGCUUACCAAGGCGAUGAUGCAUAGCCGAGUUGAGAGACUGAUCGGCCACAAUGGGACUGAGACACGGCCCAUACUCCUACGGGAGGCAGCAGUAGGGAAUCUUCCACAAUGGGCGAAAGCCUGAUGGAGCAACGCCGCGUGUGUGAUGAAGGGUUUCGGCUCGUAAAACACUGUUGUAAGAGAAGAAUGACAUUGAGAGUAACUGUUCAAUGUGUGACGGUAUCUUACCAGAAAGGAACGGCUAAAUACGUGCCAGCAGCCGCGGUAAUACGUAUGUUCCAAGCGUUAUCCGGAUUUAUUGGGCGUAAAGCGAGCGCAGACGGUUAUCUAAGUCUGAAGUGAAAGCCCUCAGCUCAACUGAGGAAUUGCUUUGGAAACUGGAUGACUUGAGUGCAGUAGAGGAAAGUGGAACUCCAUGUAUAGCGGUGAAAUGCGUAGAUAUAUGGAAGAACACCAGUGGCGAAGGCGGCUUUCUGGACUGUAACUGACGUUGAGGCUCGAAAGUGUGGGUAGCAAACAGGAUUAGAUACCCUGGUAGUCCACACCGUAAACGAUGAGUGCUAGGUGUUUGAGGGUUUCCGCCCUUAAGUGCCGCAGCUAACGCAUUAAGCACUCCGCCUGGGGAGUACGACCGCAAGGUUGAAACUCAAAGGAAUU